UAGGGAAUCUUCCACAAUGGACGCAAGUCUGAUGGAGCAACGCCGCGUGAGUGAAGAAGGUCUUCGGAUCGUAAAACUCUGUUGUUAGAGAAGAACACGAGUGAGAGUAACUGUUCAUUCGAUGACGGUAUCUAAUCAGCAAGUCACGGCUAACUACGUGCUAG
rnacentral:rRNA from 1 species